rnacentral:rRNA from 1 species
UACGGAGGGUGCAAGCGUUAUCCGGAUUUAUUGGGUUUAAAGGGUGCGCAGGCGGGCUGAUCAGUCAGUGGUGAAAUCCCGGGGCUUAACUCCGGAACUGCCAUUGAUACUGUCAGUCUUGAAUACGGUUGAGGUAGGCGGAAUGUAGCAUGUAGCGGUGAAAUGCAUAGAUAUGCUACAGAACACCGAUCGCGAAGGCAGCUUACCAAGCCGAUAUUGACGCUCAGGCACGAAAGCGUGGGGAGCGAACAGGAUUAGAUACCCUCGUA